AGGUCUAGCAUUUUUGAUGCCAAGGCUGGAAUUGCAUUGAACGAUAACUUUGUGAAACUCGUGACCUGGUAUGACAACGAAUGGGGCUACAGCAACCGUGUAGUGGAUCUCCUUCGCCACAUUGCCAAAUCAAAGUAGAUUGAUGAGAAGCUCGGUGACGCUCCCACCUUCGCACUAUUAUAAUUUGGCCUUUAUGGUUGUUGUCUUUGUUCCUAAGUUUUAAUGAGAGAAUAAAUGGAUGAGGUGCUUCAAGUAAUGUUGAUGAACAUCGUAGUUUUAUUUUUCCUCGUCAUUAUCUUGGCAUGCGGUUGUGCUUGCCUAUAUUUUGUUAAUUGAGGUUUUGCUAAGACCCCCUGCUAUUUGGGCCACACGUCAAUGUGGUUGUGUUUGCAUUGGUUUUGCAAGUACAUUUUAUGUUUUUUAGUAGAAAAAUAUCUUUGUUGUCUGAUUCUAA